UGGCGGACUAGCGACUUAACUAUCAAACUCGAGGAGAGGAGUCAACCUGCAUCUUUAAUAUAUUGAAAAGUUGUACGGAAGAACGAAUAUGUCCUCCACACCUGGGAACCCUUCCCCGUGGAGCGUCGAGGAUACUGGGGGGGAGGAGAAAGGUGAAGCGACCUUCAGGGACUAUGAGUCUUCUGAUGAGUUUCUGUGGCCGGAGGAUGUGUCUGAG